CCCAGAUCUGCCUGCCUCAUCCUGACCUGCCCUGAAACAGCUGUCUGAAAACCGUUAGCUUCUGGGCUCAAUUUUGUCCAGGUUUUCAGGGCCAAGAGCACGAAGCAAUUCUACAUGUUUGUCUCUUUAAUGAAAUAAGCAUUCUCCAGAACAAAGAGAUAAGUUUUGCCUAACCCUAGUAUUGUUUAGUGCCAACACAGUCCCAGAACUGCAACAAAGAGCAAAGUAGUCCCCGCCAGCUGGGAGCUGACCUGGCACUACCAACUGGCCUUCAUGUUGCUAGAAGCCAGCCCAUCCGCUCCAGCCAGGCCACAGGGUUCUCAUGUGAAGCCUGGAGGUGACAUGCAUAUGGAGCAGCCUCUGUCGGCCUGAGAAUCUGAAUACUCUUUUGAAGCAGUGAGUUCAUGGAAUUUGGGGAAUUCACAGGUUCCAGAAAUAUCCAUCUUUGGAUUCCACGUAAAAAAGAAA